rnacentral:rRNA from 1 species
CUGAGGCGUGACGACGAGGCACUACGGUGCUGAAGCAACAAAUGCCCUGCUUCCAGGAAAAGCCUCUAAGCAUCAGGUAACAUCAAAUCGUACCCCAAACCGACACAGGUGGUCAGGUAGAGAAUACCAAGGCGCUUGAGAGAACUCGGGUGAAGGAACUAGGCAAAAUGGUGCCGUAACUUCGGGAGAAGGCACGCUGACACGUAGGUGAAGUGAUUUACUCAUGGAGCUGAAGUCAGUCGAAGAUACCAGCUGGCUGCAACUGUUUAUUAAAAACACAGCACUGUGCAAACACGAAAGUGGACGUAUACGGUGUGACGCCUGCCCGGUGCCGGAAGGUUAAUUGAUGGGGUCAGCGCAAGCGAAGCUCCUGAUCGAAGCCCCGGUAAACGGCGGCCGUAACUAUAACGGUCCUAAGGUAGCGAAAUUCCUUGUCGGGUAAGUUCCGACCUGCACGAAUGGCGUAAUGAUGGCCAGGCUGUCUCCACCCGAGACUCAGUGAAAUUGAACUCGCUGUGAAGAUGCAGUGUACCCGCGGCAAGACGGAAAGACCCCGUGAACCUUUACUAUAGCUUGACACUGAACAUUGAGCCUUGAUGUGUAGGAUAGGUGGGAGGCUUUGAAGUGUGGACGCCAGUCUGCAUGGAGCCGACCUUGAAAUACCACCCUUUAAUGUUUGAUGUUCUAACGUGGACCCGUUACCCGGGUUGCGGACAGUGUCUGGUGGGUAGUUUGACUGGGGCGGUCUCCUCCUAAAGAGUAACGGAGGAGCACGAAGGUUGGCUAAUCCUGGUCGGACAUCAGGAGGUUAGUGCAAUGGCAUAAGCCAGCUUGACUGCGAGCGUGACGGCGCGAGCAGGUGCGAAAGCAGGUCAUAGUGAUCCGGUGGUUCUGAAUGGAAGGGCCAUCGCUCAACGGAUAAAAGGUACUCCGGGGAUAACAGGCUGAUACCGCCCAAGAGUUCAUAUCGACGGCGGUGUUUGGCACCUCGAUGUCGGCUCAUCACAUCCUGGGGCUGAAGUAGGUCCCAAGGGUAUGGCUGUUCGCCAUUUAAAGUGGUACGCGAGCUGGGUUUAGAACGUCGUGAGACAGUUCGGUCCCUAUCUGCCGUGGGCGCUGGAGAACUGAGGGGGGCUGCUCCUAGUACGAGAGGACCGGAGUGGACGCAUCACUGGUGUUCGGGUUGUCAUGCCAAUGGCACUGCCCGGUAGCUAAAUGCGGAAGAGAUAAGUGCUGAAAGCAUCUAAGCACGAAACUUGCCCCGAGAUGAGUUCUCCCUGAGACUUAGAGUCUCCUGAAGGAACGUUGAAGACGACGACGUUGAUAGGCCGGGUGUGUAAGCGCAGCGAUGCGUUGAGCUAACCGGUACUAAUGAACCGUGAGGCUUAACCUUACAACGCCGAAG